UGCUAUGUACCGGAUUGUAACCACUACUACGAUAACCACAUGUGCGUUUGAUUGUUUUCUGACCUUUAUUAGCGAGUGGCGCAGUGGUCUAAGGCACUGCGUCUAUGUUCUAGAGGUGUCACUACAGACCCUGGUUCGAUUCCAGGCUGUAUCACAACAGGCCGUGAUUGGGAGCCCAUAGUGCGACACACAAUUGGCCCAGCGUCGUUCAGGUUAGGCCAUCAUUAUGGACGGACCAAAAACACAGUGACAACACUUUGGUCUGCAGCUUCCAUUUUCCGGUGGAAAGAGAAAUGGCCCUGUAUUUCCAAGAAAAGACAAGAGGCGUGACAUGCGGAACAUCAGGCUCACCCCACGAGAAGCAGUGCAUGAUCAACUCCACCCUCAGCAAGGCAAUCUGCUGGAAGUGAUGUACUCUCUCUCUCUCACUCUGGGGGUAAGACUUAUAAAUUCCCACUGUGCCCAUGAUAAAAUGCAAUGUGAAUGGUGUUGUACUACUCAAUGAAACUGUUAGGAGAUGCACUCAAAAUUUAACUUACGUUGACUACAUUACUUUAGUUGGCUGCUUUGAGCAAAACUUGAAUGUAAUAUAACCUAUUGUUUGUGUAUGAUCUGUAUUCAUUGUUCACUUGUUUUCAACAAUGUUAGGUCCAAGCACUGGGGCCUUCAGCAAGUAAGACACAAGGGGUACAAAAUCAUUUGUACAUCACAGAUGUAUAUUCCCACUGUGCCCAUGAUAAAGGUGAACUACAUUACUGUAGCUGGCUACUUUGAACAACACUUGUAUGUAAUAUAACUAGGGCUGUCAUACAAAAAAAAAAAAAAAAAAAAAUGGAUUAAUUGCAUUCAAUUCUGUAGUUAAUUGCGAUUAAUCACUCAUUUAUAAUUUUUUCCAAUCUGUUCCUAAAUAAACAGUGUAUUGAGUUAUAGGCAUGUAGGGACUGAAACACAAAAAAUAUUCCGUAUCAGAAUGUUUUUAAUGGCAUAUUCACCAUAAACAAGUUAAGCAAUACAAAUGUCCUGUAAAGUACUAAUGCUCCCAGUAGGCCUACUCCCUCAUACAUUUUCUUGAAGUUGUCAACGAGAAAUGUGGAAACUGGAAGGAGCCGCAGUGAGAACAAUUAGGGGUGGAGAUGGAUGAGGAAGAGUUAGUCAGGUAACUCUUUUCCCACUCUACAACCAUUCAUACACACACACACACACACACACACACAGUUAAAACUUCAGCCAUUACAAAUUAUUGUUCUCCCAAUUACUGAUUGGAGGGUUGGCUAUAAUAAAAAAAUAACUGGCUCUAUGGAUGCAAAGAGCAUAAACUUGUCCAACAAUGUCAUGAAUUCCACAGAACAUAAACCUGUGACCAUACACUCCAGUCGUCCUCCUUUUUCUUUUCACUGAGCCAGUUCCAAAGACAAAAAUCACGUUAACAUUUUCAGAUGAUAAAGCUGCUCUCUUCUGUACGAUAUGCCCAGAGAGUGAAAACAACCUCCCACAAGUUACUGAUGUGGCAGGCAUUGCCAGGUACUGUAUGUAAAUAAGGUAUUUCUGUUUUUAUAUUUAAUACAUUUGCCAAAAAUGAUUGGGUAUUAUGUGUAGAUUGAGGGAAAAAACAAUUCAAUCCAUUUUAGAAUACGGCUGAAACGUAACAAAAUGUGGAAAAAGUGAAAGGGUCUGAAUACUUUCCGAAUGCACUGUCCCUUCGUGCAAUGCAGGCCAGCCUGGUGUGUGCCCCUGCAUGCUGUGACAACCACUGUCGUGGACAGUCCUCCAUGUAGAUGCUGGGCUCUGCUUUGUAACGCUCCACACAUUUCUCAAUGGACUCCUAUUCUUCAACAGACUCAGAAGAACUCAACAAGAGGGCAGCUGUCUUAUUUGGUGGCUCUGACUCUGUUGCUUUAUCAGGUUGCUGUACAGACCUCUCUUCCUUCAGCACGUUGCUGACAAAAGCCCACACCUCACCCCUCUCAGGUCUGGGAAGGCACUUCGGGUCCUUAAACCUUGGGUCGAGUGCUGUGGCGAUCUUCAGACAUGUGAGGUUGGUGUUUUCCUUGCAUUUCUUCAGGUUUGUUGUGAAUAUUUGCUUGAAACUUUCCACGUAGGCAUGGUCAUCAUCGGAGCUCUCCAUCACCCAAAGGAGAUGGCACAAAGCAGGCAACACCAGUGAGCAGGAAAUGUACUUCUCUCCCAGAAGUUCAGUCAAGUACCUGCAGUGGAAAAUAAUUCUAAAUAAUUUAAGUGAAUUGUGAGAGACUUGUUAUACGCAGACACAUUCUCUCUCACUCACACACACACACACACACACACACACACAAUCGUAUUAUAACACUAAUAGUAUGAUAAAGAAGCUUACCUUCAGGGCUACAGCAGCGCCUACAACUUCUGCAGUUUCUCCAAUUCAGCUGUGGUUUGCAUGGUGAAGUUGGUUUUCUGUUGGGCCAGAGCACCUCUGUGGUUGUUGGUUUCUGUGGACACACUUUACCAAUUCCUGUGUGGAAUUCCAUCUUUUUGUGACAUCUUGAACGAGUUACUCGUUUUUUUGCCCAUUUGCAACUUGCUGUUGUCCUAGCUCUGCAGCGUUUGGUGUGCUGUGUUUGAAAUGCCAAACAAUUCUUCAGCAUUUGGCUUGGGCAUUUUCAAACCUGCUGUUCUGUAGGGACACUGUGAUGGACCUUUGGGGACGGUGAGCAGUGCAGGGUGUUCAAAAGGCAGAUAUCUCGCAGCUACAAUCAUGUUCUGUGUAAAGUGUUUUCAAUGUUCCACUGCUUUUCUACAUCCCCGGGUGCCCUUGUACUUUAACAAUGUCUGGUACAGACAGGGACGACAGGGAGGGUGGCGGUUGUUCUGGCUCAGGUUCAAGGAGACAUGCCAUUCCACUUAACCUGUCCCGGAAAUGGUUCCUUGGCGACUGAAGAUCCUCUUCUGUGGGCUUUCAGAUUGUAUUGUGAACCGCCAAAAUAGGCUGCAUGGCUACACUUAUGAGCUCCACAGAGGCAUUCACAUGUGGUAUAGAGAAUCCCCUGGUCACCUAUAGAGACCUGCAAAGAGGAAGGAUGUUAAGUGCCACAUUCCUUUCAAUGCAUGACUUUGAACACCGUGAAAUGUUUAUGCUGUAAGAAAUGUGCUAUAUACACUAACCGUUCAAAAGUUUGAGGCCACUUAGAAAUGUAAUUGUUUUAUAAAAAAAUAAUUUUUU